GGGGAAUAUUGCACAAUGGGCGCAAGCCUGAUGCAGCGACGCCGCGUGAGGGAUGGAGGCCUUCGGGUUGUAAACCUCUUUUAUCGGGGAGCAAGCGAGAGUGAGUUUACCCGUUGAAUAAGCACCGGCUAACUACGUGCCAGCAGCCGCGGUAAUACGUAGGGUGCAAGCGUUAUCCGGAAUUAUUGGGCGUAAAGGGCUCGUAGGCGGUUCGUCGCGUCCGGUGUGAAAGUCCAUCGCUUAACGGUGGAUCCGCGCCGGGUACGGGCGGGCUUGAGUGCGGUAGGGGAGACUGGAAUUCCCGGUGUAACGGUGGAAUGUGUAGAUAUCGGGAAGAACACCAAUGGCGAAGGCAGGUCUCUGGGCCGUUACUGACGCUGAGGAGCGAAAGCGUGGGGAGCGAACAGGAUUAGAUACCCUGGUAGUCCACGCCGUAAACGGUGGAUGCUGGAUGUGGGGCCCGUUCCACGGGUUCCGUGUCGGAGCUAACGCGUUAAGCAUCCCGCCUGGGGAGUACGGCCGCAAGGCUAAAACUCAAAGAAAUUGACGGGGGCCCGCACAAGCGGCGGAGCAUGCGGAUUAAUUCGAUGCAACGCGAAGAACCUUACCUGGGCUUGACAUGUUCCCGACGGUCGUAGAGAUACGGCUUCCCUUCGGGGCGGGUUCACAGGUGGUGCAUGGUCGUCGUCAGCUCGUGUCGUGAGAUGUUGGGUUAAGUCCCGCAACGAGCGCAACCCUCGCCCCGUGUUGCCAGCGGAUUAUGCCGGGAACUCACGGGGGACCGCCGGGGUUAACUCGGAGGAAGGUGGGGAUGACGUCAGAUCAUCAUGCCCCUUACGUCCAGGGCUUCACGCAUGCUACAAUGGCCGGUACAACGGGAUGCGACGCGGCGACGCGGAGCGGAUCCCUGAAAACCGGUCUCAGUUCGGAUCGCAGUCUGCGACUCGACUGCGUGAAGGCGGAGUCGCUAGUAAUCGCGAAUCAGCAACGUCGCGGUGAAUGCGUUCCCG
rnacentral:rRNA from 1 species